UUUUUAUUUAUUAAAGAGUAAAUGAGAAUAAAUAUUAAUUGACACUAGAUAUGUUUUCAAAAAUGUUGUUCAUAAACAGGAUGUACUUAUAGGGCUCUGAUUGGUUUUGAAGGGUGACAUGAUGCUCCUUCACACCAUCAAACGGUAGCACCGGCCCUCCCCUAUGAAGUAAAGGGCAAGGGGAGACACUGGAGAAUAGACAGAGACAGAGACACUGGAGAAUAGAGAGAGACGGAGAGGGGAGACACUGGAGAAUAGAGAGAGACGGAGAGACACUGGAGAAUAGAGAGAGAGGGGAGACACUGGAGAAUAGAGAGAGAGGGGAGACACUGGAGAAUAGAGAGAGACGGAGACACUGGAGAAUAGAGAGAGAGAGACGAGACACUGGAGAAUAGAGAGAGAGGGAGACACUGGAGAAUAGAGAGAGAGGGAGACACUGGAGAAUAGAGAGAGAGGGAGACACUGGAGAAUAGAGAGAGAGGGAGGUGAGACACUGGAGAAUAGAGAGAGAGGGAGACACUGGAGAAUAGAGAGAGAGGGAGACACUGGAGAAUAGAGAGAGAGGGGAGACACUGGAGAAUAGAGAGAGAGAGGGGAGACACUGGAGAAUAGAGAGAGAGGGAGACACUGGAGAAUAGAGAGAGAGGGAGGUGAGACACUGGAGAAUAGAGAGAGAGAUGGAGAAACUGGAGAAUAGUGAGAGAGAGGAGACACUGGAGAAUAGAGAGAGAGAGGAGACACUGGAGAAUAGAGAGAGAGAGGAGACACUGGAGAAUAGAGAGAGAGGGGAGACACUGGAGAAUAGAGAGAGAGGGAGACACUGGAGAAUAGAGAGAGAGAGGAGACACUGGAGAAUAGAGAGAGAGGGAGACACUGGAGAAUAGAGAGAGAGGGAGGUGAGACACUGGAGAAUAGAGAGAGAGGGAGACACUGGAGAAUAGAGAGAGAGAGGAGACACUGGAGAAUAGAGAGAGAGGGAGACACUGGAGAAUGGAGAGAGAGAUGGAGAAACUGGAGAAUAGAGAGAGAGGAGACACUGGAUAAUAGAGAGAGAGGGGAGACACUGGAGAAUAGAGAGAGAGGGAGGUGAGACACUGGAGAAUAGAGAGAGAGGGAUACACUGAAGAAUAGAGAGAGAGGGAGGUGAGACACUGGAGAAUAGAGAGAGAGGGAGACACUGGAGAAUAGAGAGAGAGGGGAGACACUGGAGAAUAGAGAGAGGGGGAGACACUGGAGAAUAGAGAGAGAGGGAGGUGAGACACUGGAGAAUAGAGAGAGAGGGAGACACUGGAGAAUAGAGAGAGAGGGAGACACUGGAGAAUAGAGAGAGAGAGGAGACACUGGAGAAUAGAGAGAGAGAGGAGACACUGGAGAAUAGAGAGAGAGGGAGGUGAGACACUGGAGAAUAGAGAGAGAGGGAUACACUGAAGAAUAGAGAGAGAGGGAGGUGAGACACUGGAGAAUAGAGAGAGAGGGAGACACUGGAGAAUAGAGAGAGAGGGGAGACACUGGAGAAUAGAGAGAGGGGGAAACACUGGAGAAUAGAGAGAGAGGGAGGUGAGACACUGGAGAAUAGAGAGAGAGGGAGGUGAGACACUGGAGAAUAGAGAGAGAGGGAGACACUGGAGAAUAGAGAGAGAGGGAGACACUGGAGAAUAGAGAGAGAGGAGACACUGGAGAAUAGAGAGAGAGAGGAGACACUGGAGAAUAGAGAGAGAGAGGAGACACUGGAGAAUAGAGAGAGAGAGAGAGGAGACACUGGAGAAUAGAGAGAGAGACACUGGAGAAUAGAGAGCGAGGGAGACACUGGAGAAUAGAGAGAGAGGGAGGUGAGACACUGGAGAAUAGAGAGAGAGGGAGGUGAGACACUGGAGAAUAGAGAGAGAGGGAGACACUGGAGAAUAGAGAGAGAGGGAGACACUGGAGAAUAGAGAGAGAGGAGACACUGGAGAAUAGAGAGAGAGAGGAGACACUGGAGAAUAGAGAGAGAGAGGAGACACUGGAGAAUAGAGAGAGAGAGAGAGGAGACACUGGAGAAUAGAGAGAGAGAGAGAGGAGACACUGGAGAAUAGAGAGCGAGGGAGACACUGGAGAAUAGAGAGAGAGGGGAGACACUGGAGAAUAGAGAGAGAGGGAGGUGAGACACUGGAGAAUAGAGAGAGAGGGAUACACUGAAGAAUAGAGAGAGAGGGAGGUGAGACACUGGAGAAUAGAGAGAGGGAGACACUGGAGAAUAGAGAGAGAGGGGAGACACUGGAGAAUAGAGAGAGAGGGAGACACUGGAGAAUAGAGAGAGAGAGAGAGGAGACACUGGAGAAUAGAGAGAGAGACACUGGAGAAUAGAGAGAGAGGGAGACACUGGAGAAUAGAGAGAGAGAUGGAGAAACUGGAGAAUAGAGAGAGAGAGGAGACACUGGAGAAUAGAGAGAGAGGGGAGACACUGGAGAAUAGAGAGAGACGGAGACACUGGAGAAUAGAGAUUAGGGGGCUCCCUGACAGUGAACUUGUGUUUGGAAUCGGAUCCCAGCCAAGGUCCUCCAAUAAAGCAUGAUUGGAUGCAUAAUGUCAUAAUCAUACACUAUAUAUACUGCUCAAAAAAAUAAAGGGAACACUUAAACAAC
rnacentral:lncRNA from 1 species